GUAGUGAGGAGGAGGAUAUACUGUAGUGAUAUACUGUAGUGGAGAGGAUGAGGAUAUACUGUAGUGAUAUACUGUCGUGUUGAGGAUAUACUGUAGUGAUAUACUGUGAGGAGGAUAUAAUGUAGUGAUAUACUGUAGUGAUAUACUGUAGUGGAGAGGAGGAGGAUAUAAUGUAGUGAUAUACUGUCGUGUUGAGGAUAUACUGUAGUGAUAUUGUCGUGUUGAGGAUAUACUGUAGUGAUAUACUGUGAGGAGGAUAUAAUGUAGUGAUAUACUGUCGUGUUGAGGAUAUACUGUAGUGAUAUACUGUAGUGGAGAGGAGGAGGAUAUAAUGUAGUGAUAUACUGUCGUGUUGAGGAUAUACUGUAGUGAUAUUCUGUAGUGGAGAGGAGGAGGAUAUAAUGUAGUGAUAUACUGUCGUGUUGAGGAUAUACUGUAGUGAUAUUCUGUAGUGGAGAGGAGGAGGAUAUAAUGUAGUGAUAUACUGUCGUGUUGAGGAUAUACUGUAGUGAUAUUCUGUAGUGGAGAGGAGGAUAUAAUGUAGUGAUAUACUGUAGUGAUAUACUGUAGUGGAGAGGAUGAGGAUAUACUGUAGUGAUAUACUGUCGUGUUGAGGAUAUACUGUAGUGAUAUACUGUAGUGAUAUACUGUGAGGAGGAUAUAAUGUAGUGAUAUACUGUAGUGAUAUACUGUAGAGGAGAUAUAAUGUAGUGAUAUACUGUCGUGUUGAGGAUAUACUGUAGUGAUAUACUGUAGUGGAGAGGAGGAGGAUAUAAUGUAGUGAUAUACUGUCGUGUUAAGGAUAUACUGUAGUGAUAUUCUGUAGUGGAGAG
ensembl:lncRNA